AGAACGCAACGGACCCCAGCAACAAAGGAGUGCAGAGACUCUGAGUGCGGCCUUCUGCUUCCCCGGAUUGACAGUUGGCAGGGCCCCGUCCCAGGGCCCCUGAUUGGAUGGGGUUCCAGGCUCCGCCCCUCAGCCCUGAGUGACAGGGUAAGCCCUGGGUAACGGAGCCCUGCAGAGCCCGGCUGAUUAAUCCUAGCUACAGCCUUUCUAAGGCUAAGCUCACUCCCUGCGCCCUGGUCGUUGGCUAUCUGCAUUUCAGCCAAACUUGCUACUUAUUGUUAGAAGGGGCACUGUUAGCUUCCUCGAUCUUUCAGAAAUGUGUGCUGGGAAUUCCAGACUCGGUGUUCAAUGGAGUCAUUCCUUUGCCUCAUAGCAGGAAGGAAAUCCAGGCCAGGCCAGGCCAGGCAAGACUGCACCAGGAGGGAGAGGCAGGUGUCCUCUACAGGGCGGGAAUUGGGGAUGAGACUUCCUCACACUCCCCCCGUCCCACCCCUGAAUAUGGAACCGCUUCCUCCCCCUAGACUUCAUUUUCACCAGCAGAAGUUCUCACCUGGGGUCAGUUUAAGCUUCUAACCUAAGUAAACUAUUACCUUCACAAACCCUUUCUCCAGGUGACAUGUCAGACAAAUCUUACUGAGCCUGAUCUUCACAGAUUAUCUUUGUAUGUACAAAUUACAGUCUGUCGCCGGGACCCUUUGCACGUAAAAACCAAACACUGCCCCCGCAAAACGUCCCUAGGCUCUAGGUACAGCCCCAGUAAGGACAGAACCUCCCCCCAACCCCCCUACACAAAGUGCACCUGCACGUGAGUCUCCUGCUUUCCAGGGCUCUGUAGCUUCUCAGGAUCCACAUUCCUUCCGCAGCUGUUCUGAGCAGCUGGAGGCCACCUGCAGUAGAGGGCAGGCUGCCCGGGAAACACCCAGGGGAGCUCCCUUUCCCUCCCUUUGCCGGCUCCAGACUGGCCUCAGCAGGGUGUCACUGGCCUUAGGCUCUGCUGCCCCCUACAGGUUAUUCACUUCAUUGAUCGGUUACCUGAGACAAACACCCUCAGUUCCACUGUACGUAUGUAUAAAGUGGGGAAGGAAAAUUCUAAGAUAAUUGAAGUGAAUUAAAAGACUUGCAGGCAGGGUGCGGGGGCUCACGCCUAUAAUCCCAACCCUUUUGGAGGCUGAAGCGGGAGGACUGCUUGAACCCAGGAGUUCAUCAUCCUGGAAAACGGAGCCACACCUCGUCUGUACUAAAAAUUUAAAAAUUAGCAGUGCGUGGUGUCCUGAACCUGUAGUCCCAGCUACUCGGGAGGCUGAGGUGGGAAGAUCUUGAGCCCAGGAGUUUGAAGCUUCAGUGACCUAUGAUCUCGCCACUGUGCUUCAGCAAGAGUUGUGAUAGUUGUAUCAGAUAAAAUAGACUUUAAAUAAAAAACAGUACAAAAAGACAAAGAAGAUCAUGAGAUACUGAUAACAGAAUCAAUUCAGCAAGAUAAUAUAGUAAUACUAAAUAUAUAUGCAUCCAACAUUGGAGAGGCCAAAUUAAUAAAGCAAAUAUUUCUAGACCUAAAGAAAGAUAUAGAUAGCAAUACAAUAAUAGUAUGGGACUUCAGCACCUCACACACAGUAGUAGAUAUAUCAUCAAGACAGACAAUCAACAAAAAAAUUGGACUUAAGUUGGACUUUGGACCAAAUGGAGCUAACAGACGUUUACAGAACCCAACAACUGCAGAAUAUACAUUCUUCUCAUCAGUACGUGAAACAUUCUCCAAGGUAGACCAUAUGUUAGGCCACAAAACUAGUCUCGACAAAUUUUAAAGUCAAAAUCAUUUCAAGCAUCUUCUCAGACUGCUGAAUAAAACUAAAAAUCAAUACCAAGAGGAACUUUGAAAACUGUAUAAAUACAUGGAAAUUAAACAAUGUGCUCCUGAAUGAUCUCUGAGUCAAAGAAGAAAUAAAAACAGAAAAUAAAAAUUUUGUUUGAAAUGAACAAAAAUGGCAACACAACAUAUCAAAACCUCUGGGAUAUAGGAAAAGUCAUGCUAAGAGGGAAGUUUAUAGAAUUAUAUGCCUCUGUCAAAAAAGUAACAAAUUAACAACCUAACAUGGUACCCCAUGGAACUAGGAAAACAAGAACAAAACAAAUCCAAAGUUGGCAGAAAAGAAAUAACAAAGAUCAGAGCAGAAUUAAACAAAAUCAAGACUAAAAAACAACACAAAUGAUAAACGAAACAAAAAGUUGGUUCUUUGAAAAUAUCAACAAAAGUAAUAAACUGCUGGCUAGACUAACCAAGAAAAAAAAGAAGAUUCAAAUGAACAAAACCAGAAUUGAAAAAGAAGACAUUACACCAAUACCACAGAAAUACCAUCAGAGACUACUAUGAACAACUAUAUGCUCACAACCUAGAAAACCUAUAGGUUUUUUUGAAACGUAUAACCUCCCAGGAUUGAACCAAGAAGAAACAGAUAUCCUGAAUAGACCAAUAAUAAGUAGCAAUAUUGAAUCAGCAAUAAAAAAAUUCCCAAAAAUG
rnacentral:lncRNA from 1 species